rnacentral:rRNA from 1 species
UACGGAGGGGGCUAGCGUUGUCCGGAUUUAUUGGGCGUAAAGAGCGUGUAGGCGGCCAUACAGGUCCGUUGUGAAAACUGGAGGCUUAACCUCCAGACGUCGAUGGAAACCGUAUGGCUAGAGUCCGGAAGAGGAGAGUGGAAUUCCUGGUGUAGCGGUGAAAUGCGCAGAUAUCAGGAAGAACAUCCGUGGCGAAGGCGGCUCUCUGGGACGGUACUGACGCUGAGACGCGAAAGCGUGGGGAGCGAACAGG